GCGACACGGCCCCGUGCUGCGCAGACCUGUAUCGCUGGUCGUAGAGGUGCCAGACCAGGGCGUGGGCAAUCAGCAGGUUGUGGGCUGCCCGUAUCAUUCCAGAAGUUUAUUGAAUCCAACAAAGAAACAAUCAAAGAAAACCAGAACAUGAGACAUUCUACAACCAAUUGGUCUGGACUCUUCAAAACUGCCAAUACCAUGAACUUGGGGGAAUUAUUCUGAAUUAAAGGAGGCUAAAGAUGAAUGACA